UGAGCAAUCUGCCCUUCUCAUCGGAAUAAGCGUUGGAAACGACGUCUAAUGCCGAAUACGACCUCCUUUCACAUGAUCGGAGGUGGAAAGCUCCGGCGGAGAAGGAUGAGCUCGCGGCCUAUCAGCUAGUUGGUGUGGGUAACGCCCACCAAGGCGACGACGGGUAGCCGGCCUGAGAGGGUGACCGGCCACACUGGGACUGAGACACGGCCCAGACUCCUACGGGAGGCAGCG
rnacentral:rRNA from 1 species